rfam:Ornithorhynchus anatinus chromosome 1, whole genome shotgun sequence.
AGCAGUGUGGCUCAGUGGAAAGAGCACGGGAUUUGGAGUCAGAGGUCAUGGGUUCGAAUCCCAGCUCGGCCA